rnacentral:rRNA from 1 species
CAGGGAUUGCCCUAGUAACGGCGAGUGAAGCGGCAAUAGCUCAGAUUUGAAAUCUGGUCCUUUCAGGGCCCGAGUUGUAAUCUGCAGAGGAUGCUUCGGUGUCAGCCUCGGCYUAAGUUCCUUGGAACMGGACGUCACAGAGGGUGAGAAUCCCGUAUGUGGUCGGCUGCUUUCACCAUGUGAAGCUCCUUCGACGAGUCGAGUUGUUUGGGAAUGCAGCUCUAAAUGGGAGGUAAAUUUCUUCUAAAGCUAAAUAUUGGCCAGAGACCGAUAGCGCACAAGUAGAGUGAUCGAAAGAUGAAAAGCACUUUGGAAAGAGAGUUAAAAAGCACGUGAAAUUGUUGAAAGGGAAGCGCUUGCAAUCRGACUUGAUCGCGAUGGCUUAUCCAAGCUAUAACGGCUUGGUGCACUCCUUCGUAAUCAGGCCAGCAUCAGUUCGGGCGGCUGGAUAAAGAAUUUGGGAAUGUGGCUCUCUUCGGGGAGUGUUAUAGCCCAGAUUGUAAUGCAGUCAGCCUGGACUGAGGUCCGCGCUUCGGCUAGGAUGCUGGCGUAAUGAUUGUAAGCGGCCCGUCUUGAAACACGGACCAAGGAGUCUAACAUCUAUGCAAGUGUUUGGGUGUUAAACCCAUACGCGUAAUGAAAGUGAACGGAGGUGGGAACCCGCAAGGCGCACCAUCGACCGAUCCUGAUGUCUUCGGAUGGAUUUGAGUAAGAGCAUAGCUGUUGGGACCCGAAAGAUGGUGAACUAUGCGUGGGUAGGGUGAAGCCAGAGAAACUCUGGUGA